UCCUACGGGGGGCAGCAGUAGGGAAUUUUCGUCAAUGGGCGCAAGCCUGAACGAGCGAUGCCGCGUGAGUGAAGAAGGCCUUCGGGUCGUAAAGCUCUGUUGCGGGGGAGCAAGGGCGGGGACGUGUCCCGGCCCGGAGAGUACCCGGAGAAAAAGCAUCGGCUAACUCCGUGCCAGCAGCCGCGGUAAUACGGAGGAUGCGAGCGUUAUCCGGAUUUAUUGGGUUUAAAGGGUGCGUAGGCGGGCUUUUAAGUCAGCGGUAAAAAUUCGGGGCUCAACCCCGUCCGGCCGUUGAAACUGGGGGC
rnacentral:rRNA from 1 species